CCCAUCCUUCCGGGCAACUGAAGCAUCAGACUCUAGGAAAAUGGGUGCAGAGGGCCCUGACAAGCCUAGCGUCGUGUCAGGGCUGAACUCGGGCCCUGGUCAUGUGUGGGGCCUUCUCCUGGGACUACUGCUCCUGCCUCCUCUGGUGUUGGCUGGAAUCUUCUGAAGGGGAUACCACUCAAAGGGUGAAGAGGUCAGCUGUCCUCCUGUCAUCUUCCCCACCCUGUCCCCAGCCCCUAAACAAGAUACUUCUUGGUUAAGGCCCUCUGGAAGGGAAAGGCUACUGGGCAUGUGCCUCAUCACACCAUCCUGGAGGCACAAGGCCUGGCUGGCUGCGAGCUCAGGGGGCCGCCUGCGGACUGCACACCGGGCCCACACCUCUCCUGCCCCUCCCUCCUGAGUCCUGGGGGCGGGAGGAUUUGAGGGAGCUCACUGCCUACCUGGCCUGGGGCUGUCUGCCCA
rnacentral:sRNA from 1 species